GUAGGCAGCCACCAACGACAACGAACAAACGCAUGCACAUGGCUGUUGGAUAGGCAAAGGGCUAUGCUGAUGCGUUGGUCAGCCAGCCACAACAAGGGACACACACACGCACAUGUGGUUGGCAUAGGCAAGGGCCCCACAUGAUUGUUGGUCAGCCAGCAACGACAGCGACCAUACGCAUGUACAUUGGAUGGUUGAAGGGAGAAUGCCUGGCGUUGGAUGAUCGCUGCUGUGGUGAAUUUGAAAACCAGGUAUGAGUGAGAACGAAUAAAAGGAGGGGUGCAACAGGCAAAGGAGAUCAGAAGUCCACCGUCGGAGGCGAAGCAACGAGUGUGAAGCCAAGGAGAUAUCGGUGAGUAGAGUGAAAAGUGCUAAGUGACAUGGAUAAAAGACUAAAGUGACAGUGUUCGAGAGCCGUGUAUUAUCGUUAAUCUUUGCCGUCUGAGCCCCGUAAACAGUGAACUUUCGUGGUCACUGCAACGUAACCGCUCCGUUAGACUUUCCCGCAACCAGUGAACUUUCGUGGUCACUGCAACGUAACCACUCCGUUAAACUUUCCCGCAACAGUGAACUUCCGUGGUCACUGCAACGUAAAUGCUACGUUAAUCUUUGCCGUCUGAGCCCCUCAAACAGUGAACUUUCGUGGUCACUGCACCGUAGACGCUUCGUUAGACCUUCCCGCAAACAGUGAACUUUCGUGGUCACUGCAACGUAAAUGCUUCGUUAAUCUUUGCCGUCUGAGCCCCGCAACCAGUGAACUUUCGUGGUCACUGCACCGUAGACGCUUCGUUAGACCUUCCCGCAAACAGUGAACUUUCGUGGUCACUGCAACGUAAAUGCUUCGUUAAUCUUUGCUGUCUGAGACCCGUAGACAGUGAACUCUCGUGGUCACUGCAACGUAACCGCUUCGUUAAACUUUCCCGCAACCAGUGAACUUUCGUGGCCACUGCACCGUUUUAGCCUCGUGUUUCCCGCCGACACCGCGAACGUCCGUGGGCAGUUUGUUUUGCGCCACAUUGGGUACGCCGCGUUAGCGAUAGACCCCGACCGACACCGCACGGUAGGGACAUAACUGACGAAAGACGGACGGUCCCACGAUCCCACUUCGCGGACCCCACGCCAAGCCACUCACCAGGGUGCAAGAACCGGUCCAGGUCUUCACCCAUCUCGCACUGCGAUCGUCCACGCCAGCAGGACCCCUCCCUCAGAGCGGGUUGCCAUAGUCCUCUUACGCCCCUGUCCAGGGACAUCCGGGCUCACAGCUGAGAACCGUACCAGGUCUCAUACAACCGGGAACCAUACCAGGAUUCGUACAGCUGAGAACCGGGCCAGGUCUCAUACAACCGAGAACCGUACCAGGCCUCCCAGACGCGGCCACCAUCGAAGGACAUCCGGGCUCACAGCUGAGAACCGUACCAGGUCUCAUACAACCGGGAACCAUACCAGGAUUCGUACAGCUGAGAACCGGGCCAGGUCUCAUACAACCGAGAACCGUACCAGGCCUCCCAGACGCGGCCACCAUCGAAGUACACCCGGGUUCCCACACCAGAGAACCGUACCAGGUCUCACGAGCGCAGCCACCGUCGAAGUACCCCUAGCUCAGCACAACAGAGAACCAUCCCAGGUCUCGGCCUUAGUGUUUAAAUCGUUAAGGAACUUUUCCAGAGUUAAAUAAACAGAUUUGUGAAACCAAAA